UACGUAGGGUGCGAGCGUUAAUCGGAAUACUGGGCGUAAAGCGUGCGCAGGCGGUUUUGUAAGUCUGUCGUGAAAUCCCCGGGCUCAACCUGGGAAUUGCGAUGGAGACUGCAAGGCUAGAAUCUGGCAGAGGGGGUAGAAUUCCACGUGUAGCAGUGAAAUGCGUAGAGAUGUGGAGGAACACCGAUGGCGAAGGCAGCCCCUGGGUCAAGAUUGACGCUCAUGCACGAA
rnacentral:rRNA from 1 species